UGGGGAUGUGGCAUCAGGGAGAUUGGCGGGGAACUCUCUGGCAAGGAUGGGGAGUGUCUGCCAUAGUGAUUGGGGAUGCAACAACCAAGGAGAAGGAGCAAGCCGUGCACCCCAGUCUUGCUUUGAGGAAGGGAUGAAGGACAGGGAACAUUCCAGAAGGGAACUAAGGACAUACAAGGAGAUUGACAGAACUGCAAAACAACAGACUACCACAAAAAACUGUUUGAAAAAUGCACUGAAAUUGUCCAGAACAUCCAACCAUGGAGGCUCAGGCUUGGAACUUGCUGAUCCCCGAAUUAUUCCUCUUCACUGCCAUCAUAACAGCUAACUGACGUUUUCUGGAGAGUAGAAGCUUGGAUGGCAUUUCCGAUGACAUUUCUUCAAGCACCUUUGGAGAAGCAGCCCAAUAGCUCAUUUCAGAUUUCUUCAUGGAUCAUCACUAGCCACAUGUUAAUCUGAAGGAGAGCUCAGAGGGAGUAAUUUCACAACACAACUCUUAAGUUAACCCCCUCUUGUCAUUCCUAAUACCACCACUGAUCAUCUGUUAUUGGCUGGAUGAUG